UACGUAGGGUGCAAGCGUUAAUCGGAAUUACUGGGCGUAAAGCGUCCGCAGGUGGCAAUGUAAGUCUACUGUUAAAGAGUCUAGCUCAACUAGAUAAAAGCAGUGGAAACUACAUAGCUAGAGUACGUUCGGGGCAGAGGGAAUUCCUGGUGUAGCGGUGAAAUGCGUAGAGAUCAGGAAGAACACCAGUGGCGAAGGCGCUCUGCUAGGCCGUAACUGACACUGAGGGACGAAAGCUAGGGGAGCGAAUGGG
rnacentral:rRNA from 1 species